GGAAACUUCAACUGGGAGUGAAACUAACCAACUUGAAUCAUCGUUUUUUUGAAGAACUGCUCACGAGCUAAAAAAGUGUUGCUCAUAAUCCCAAAUCACACAAGCCAAAGAAAAAAAAAGAAAAUCUCGAAAACUCAAGUCGAGUCACUCGCAUUUUAAGGUAUCACAGACAGAUUUGAGCUCAUUCUGGGUCCUAGUUUAGUCCACAAAUUUGAGCAAACUUUAGGUUGGACAUCCUUUCAUUUCUUGUGCUCAAGUUCUGCGGGGCAUAGCCAGCAGCAGCACAGAACGCGCCGCUACUAAAUAAGGAGGUAAUUCCUGUGGUGAUUCCACAGGUGUGGGCAAAUUUCUCUUAUUUCCGCUGACUGACUGCCUUCAGAGGCUUGCUUCAUACUUUCUGGGAUUAUAACACUAUAUUUUUGGCAGACAAAACAAAGCCGCUCAAUCGUGGAAAAGUGUUCGACUUAAAAUCCAAGCUGCAUCGAGGAAGCGAUAAAAACCUAUGUGUAUUU